rnacentral:rRNA from 1 species
CGGGGGGGGCAAGCGUUGUUCGGAAUUACUGGGCGUAAAGGGCGCGUAGGCGGUUUGCUAAGUUGAAUGUGAAAACUCUGGGCUUAACCCAGAGCCUGCAUUCAAUACUGGCAGGCUAGAGUUCUGGAGGGGAUAGCGGAAUUCCUGGUGUAGCGGUGAAAUGCGUAGAUAUCAGGAGGAACACCGGUGGCGAAGGCGGCUAUCUGGACAGAGUCUGACGCUGAGGCGCGAAAGCUAGGGGAGCAAACAGGAUUAGAUACCCUGGUAGUCCUAGCCCUAAACGAUGGAUACUUGCUGUGACUGGGAUUGAAUCCAGCCGUGGCGAAGCUAACGCAUUAAGUAUCCCGCCUGGGGAGUACGGUCGCAAGGCUG